AAAAGGCGGCGUAAGCUGUCGCUAAAGGAUGGGCCCGCGGUGCAUUAGCUAGUUGGUAAGGUAACGGCUUACCAAGGCGACGAUGCAUAGCCGAGUUGAGAGACUGAUCGGCCACAUUGGGACUGAGACACGGCCCAAACUCCUACGGGAGGCAGCAGUAGGGAAUCUUCCACAAUGGGCGAAAGCCUGAUGGAGCAACGCCGCGUGAGUGAAGAAGGUUUUCGGAUCGUAAAGCUCUGUUGUUGGUGAAGAAGGAUAGAGGUAGUAACUGGCCCCUAUUUGACGGUAAUCAACCAGAAAGUCACGGCUAACUACGUGCCAGCAGCCGCGGUAAUACGUAGGUGGCAAGCGUUGUCCGGAUUUAUUGGGCGUAAAGCGAGCGCAGGCGGAAAGAUAAGUCUGAUGUGAAAGCCCCCGGCUUAACCGAGGAAUUGCAUCGGAAACUGUGUUUCUUGAGUGCAGAAGAGGAGAGUGGAACUCCAUGUGUAGCGGUGGAAUGCGUAGAUAUAUGGAAGAACACCAGUGGCGAAGGCGGCUCUCUGGUCUGUAACUGACGCUGAGGCUCGAAAGCAUGGGUAGCGAGCAGGAUUAGAUACCCUGGUAGUCCAUGCCGUAAACGAUGAGUGCUAAGUGUUGGGAGGUUUCCGCCUCUCA
rnacentral:rRNA from 1 species